rnacentral:rRNA from 1 species
ACAUGCCACUAANGAAGCAGAGAUGCAUUAGGUGCUCGAAAGAGAAAGUGGACACAGGUGCUGCAUGGCUGUCGUCAGCUCGUAUCGUGAGAUGUUGGGUUAAGUCCCGCAACGAGCGCAACCCUUGUCUCUAGUUGCUACGAAAGGGCACUCUAGAGAGACUGCCGGUGACAAACCGGAGGAAGGUGGGGAUGACGUCAAGUCCUCAUGGCCCUUAUGGGUAGGGCUUCACACGUCAUACAAUGGUGCAUACAGAGGGUUGCCAAGCCAGCGAGGUGGAGCUAANANCAGAAAAUGCAUCGUAGUCCGGAUCGUAGUCUGCAACUCGACUACGUGAAGCUGGAAUCGCUAGUAAUCGCGGAUCAGCAUGCCGCGGUGAAUACGUUCCCGGGUCUUGUACACACCGCCCGUCACACCAUGGGAGUGGGCUUUACCAGAAGUAGUUAGCCUAA